rnacentral:rRNA from 1 species
CCUACGGGUGGCAGCAGUGAGGAAUAUUGGUCAAUGGGCGCGAGCCUGAACCAGCCAAGUCGCGUGAAGGAUGACUGCCCUACGGGUUGUAAACUUCUUUUAUACAUGAAUAAAGUGAGGCACGUGUGCCUUUUUGUAUGUACUUUAUGAAUAAGGAUCGGCUAACUCCGUGCCAGCAGCCGCGGGAAUACGGAGGAUCCGAGCGUUAUCCGGAUUUAUUGGGUUUAAAGGGUGCGGAGAUGGUCUGUUAAGUCAGAUGUGAAAGUUCGCGGCUCAACCGUGAAAUUGCAAUUGAUACUGGCAGGCUUGAGAACAGUUGUGGUAGGCGGAAUGUGUGGUGUAGCGGUGAAAUGCUUAGAUAUCAUGAAGAAAUCCGAUUGCGAAGGCAGCUUACUAAGCUGCCACUGACAUUGAGGCUCGAAAGUGUGGGUAGCAAACAGGAUUAGAUACCCCGGUAGUC